rnacentral:lncRNA from 13 species
AUGAGAUACAGUGUUACUCUGCAGAAAAAUUUCAAAGUACAACUCCAAGUUUUCCAGUAUAUUUUUGCAUUCUUUGCCCCAGUAUAUCCAAUUAUUCCCACAGCGUUUCUUCUUUACAAAGAAUCAACACUGUUUGCUCUCAUCUUGAUAACAGAUCCAAAAGAAAAUGCCCCCUCUUGGGCUGGAGGUCUACAUGACUGCUCUCAAUUCUGGUUGUUCGAAAUCGUCCAGUGUUGCUGUUUGUGUUCAAUGCUGAAGACCUGGUGUCCAUGCCUGAUAAAACCUGAAGAUUCUUGCUCUGUCACCAGGCUGGAGUGCAGCAGCACGAUCUCAGCUCACUGCAAUCUCCCCCUUUCAAGUUCAAGUGAUUCUCCUGCCUCAGUCUCUCAAGUAGCUGGGAUUACAGGUACACGCCACCAUGCCCACAGCUAAUUUAUGUAUUUUUAGUAGAAAUGGGGUUUCACUAUGUUGGCCAGGAUUGUCUUGAUCUCUCGACCUCAUGAUCUGCCCGCCUCGCUUCCCAAAGAGCUGAGAUUACAGGCGUGAGCCACUGCGCCUAGCAUACAAUUUAUAUUUUUUAAGACCUGCGGUAAACUGCUAGUCAUUCCUGAAUCCCAGUGGUGGGAGGGCAAGGUGGUGGUAGAGGGACUUAAAAACAACAAAAACAAACAUUGCAGCGACACUAAAAUCAGAAUUGCCUGAAGGACCUUCAUUUCUUUUAAGUUUAUGCUCUUCUACCCCAUCUGUUCCCACUGUGGUGAUAGAAAUAAUAAAGCUUUAAUUUAAAGUCA